rnacentral:rRNA from 1 species
AGCAGCCGCGGUAAUUCCAGCUCCAAUAGCGUAUAUUAAAGUUGUUGCAGUUAAAAAGCUCGUAGUUGAAUUUCAGGAUCAAUGGGUUGGUCAUGCCCUCGGUAUGUACUGAUUUCAUUGGUUCUCACCUUCUAAGGAACCAUGAUGUCAUUUAUUUGAUGUUGUGGGAAAUUAGGACUGUUACCUUGAAAAAUUAGAGUGUUUAAAGCAGGCUAACGCUUGAAUACAUUAGCAUGGAAUAAUGAAAUAGGACAUCCGAUUCUAUUUUGUUGGUUUCUAGGAUCGAUGUAAUGAUUAAUAGGGAUAGUUGGGGGCAUUAGUAUUCAAUUGUCAGAGGUGAAAUUCUUGGAUUUAUUGAAGACUAACUACUGCGAAAGCAUUUGCCAAGGAUGUUUUCAUUAAUCAAGAACGAAAGUUAGGGGAUCGAAGACGAUCAGAUACCGUCGUAGU